GGGGCGCGCCCCGGGCGGGGCGGGGGCACGGGGGGAACGCGAAGAACCUUACCUGGUCUUGACAUCCACGGAAGUUUUCAGAGAUGGGAAUGUGCCUUCGGGAACCGUGAGACAGGUGCUGCAUGGCUGUCGUCAGCUCGUGUUGUGAAAUGUUGGGUUAAGUCCCGCAACGAGCGCAACCCUUAUCCUUUGUUGCCAGCGGUCCGGCCGGGAACUCAAAGGAGACUGCCAGUGAUAAACUGGAGGAAGGUGGGGAUGACGUCAAGUCAUCAUGGCCCUUACGACCAGGGCUACACACGUGCUACAAUGGCGCAUACAAAGAGAAGCGACCUCGCGAGAGCAAGCGGACCUCAUAAAGUGCGUCGUAGUCCGGAUUGGAGUCUGCAACUCGACUCCAUGAAGUCGGAAUCGCUAGUAAUCG
rnacentral:rRNA from 1 species